UGACCUCGGAUCAGGUAGGGAUACCCGCUGAACUUACCCAUAGUUUCAGUCGGAAGAAUCAUUAAUAGAGCAAUGAACAG
rnacentral:rRNA from 1 species